UGCCAAAGUGGGGCAGGGUACCUGGAUGUGAAGCCCUUCCAAAGCCCUACCUGAAGCAGCAGGAUCCUAGGACAAGAUGGAGGACUUGGGGAGAAACUCUGACUUUUGCACUUUUUAAAAGCACUUUUGGGAAGGAAUGGGUUCAGCUUGUGCUGCCGGAAGACGCUGUUGUGGCAGUUCCUCUCAGGAACAAACUCCAAAGGCCUGCUGACCCCUGGAAGCCAUAUUCCCGGUUCUUCCUUUCCUCUGAACCCCCCAGCCCAGCACUGGCACUUUCUUCACCCUGCCCCUUUUGCCUGCCAUUGCAUUUGUGAACGCCGACUCUGCUCACGGCCAGGUGCUUUGAAGCAGACGGCUCUGAGGCGAAAGUUGUUAUUGAACGUGAAGAGAUUUGUCCAAAUAAAUGUCUGUGUUUUAAAAUGGUUUUAA
rnacentral:lncRNA from 1 species